UUCGUCCUUGAACAGGACAACUGGUGUACAAUGAUGCACUGACGCACUUCACAACAUGUAGAAAUCCAACGAACAUCAAUAACUGAUAUGGGUGUUUUUGAUACCAUAUUUUAGUUCUUUUUUUUGUUGUUUAAAGAAGUUCUGUGCGUGCAGCGUUCACAGCUAAGAUUUAAGACAUUCUUUCCACAGUCAGUACCGGUAUCAAAUCCUGUGGAGCUGGCACACAUAAACAUUAAAAUUGAGAACACUGCAAACUGGACACGGCUCUUCAUUUGUCCAGUAACUAGAUGCCUUACGGAACCCCAUGGGAACAAAAGCCUCAGUGAAGAGAACAAGGGGGAGCGAGUUAAUGACCUUAGCACAGUACUCUUUGAUCCACAUUGUCAUGGAGCGCGCACUGUAAAGGCUAACAAUGAGAGACAGUGCUGGCACUUCAGAGGCUGAGCUCUGCCUCAGGCAUGCUGACAUUUAGGUACAUGAAUUUUCCUCAGAGCAGAGAGAGAAGGGCCUCACUUUCUCCCAGUGUACAAUUAACAAGUGCUUCACACUGAUGAGUUAUGACCAUAUACUAUUGAUCUCCUAUAAAAGACUAGUCAAUCAGGAUUUUCUUUAUUUUAUCUACUCAUACAAGUAAAGUGAUGACAAAACCUGCAUCCAAAUGACAUGUAAAUGGCAUUAAAUUAGGCCAAGUCCUUACAAUUACAUAUUAUGUCUUUCAUAUUUUGUAUCAUUAACCUACCAGACCUGGGUUAACAUUUGUACCUGCUUUCUGCUGACUUUAUAUUAAAGGCUUUUCAA